GUGAGCAAAUUUUCAGGUCGAU
rnacentral:miRNA from 1 species